rnacentral:rRNA from 1 species
CUCAAAGAUUAAGCCAUGCAAGUGGUUAUUUUUUAAUAACCCUAUCAGUUUAAAUAUACGCGCAAGCGUACAUGCAACUGCAGACAGCUGCUUAAUACAGUCACACUUGUCUUGACUCGGUUUAACUAAAUUUACGAACAACGGAUAACUCAGGGAAAGUUUGGCUAAUACGUACGAACAAUUAUUAUUGCAUACAGUUACGCAUGAAUGAGAUUGUAUACGUGCGCGUGCUUGCACCGCACACGGCAGAUAUUGUGUAUUUAUAACACGAUACAUGUCAUACAAGCAUCUAUAGCAUCAAGUCACAGGGUUGGCAAGUGUAUUUUUGAACCUUCAAAGCAGUCACGCAUACGGAAGAGUAGUUUCUGAUCCCAUAGAAGGAGCACUGUACAUUGAGAGACCGCUCUUAGUUCUAAGGAACGCAGCAGGCGCGUAAAUUGCCCAAUAAUAGUACAAAAACACAGUGAACAUUUCUAGCUCUCAUCUAUUGAGGCAGUGAUAAGCUGUAACGGUUGAGUAUUAAUCUAAUUUGACGUGUAUCUGGCAUGCGUUAUACGUUUACGCGUAUAUUACUGCAUACGCCGAUACUAUGUGUGCUCAGUCUGGAAUGCGGUGAGUCUAAACAACUCAGAACCUACGUUAUCAUAUACGUGUAUCUGAAUUUUCAAGUGGAGGGCAAGUCUGGUGCCAGCAGCCGCGGUAAUACCAGCUCCACUGGCCUAUACAAUCAUUGUUGCGGUUAAGAGGCUCGUAGUUGGAUUGAACUAAAUAUUUUUAUAUAUAUUUACAACACUGUGAUCAAAUCAGCAUGUAUCACGUAUGUAUUACUAAUACACGCAUUGUAUGUUUAUUCAUGGAAUGUUGCUCUGUAUUUUAUUAUACAAUUAUACGUCGAUGGGGAUAGUUGGAGUCAACAGUACUAGCAGGCGAGCGGUGAAAUGCAUUGACCCUACCAAGACUACCAAAAGCGAAAGCAGUUGUCUAGGCUAUAUUCUUUGUACUUGUAUACCAUCAUUAUACAAUACACAUACACACUUUACAAUGAAGAACGAAGGUUGGGGGAUCAAAGAGGAUCAGAUACCCUCGUCGUCCCAUUUUAUACAUCAAACGAUGGGUUCUCACUCGACCAAAAAUACAUAUCAAGACUUGUAGUACAUACUUCUGUACUCGUCUAUAUUACUGAUUUUCUAAGCUUUGCGCUCAAUUUUAUACGGUGAGAUGUAAGUAAUGGCUGUAUCUUUAUGAUGCAUGCUAUAUUAUGAUGCACGUAUUAGGCAUGCGCUUACUGCAGAAAUGUCUGAGAUAUUCCCCUCCGGGGGUAGUAUGCACGCAAGUGUGAAACUUGAAGGAAUUGACGGAAGGGCACCACAAGAACGCGUGGAGCAUGUGGCUUAAUUUGACUCAACGCGGGAAAUCUUACCGGGUCCGGACACACUGAGGAUUGACAGACAAACACAUUUAUGUGUUAUAAAGAUGCUAGUUCUUUCAUGAUUAUGUGAUAGGUGGUGCAUGGCCGUUCUUAGUUCGUGGAGUGAUCUGUCUGCUUAAUUGCGUUUCAAUAUUUUAUUACGUAUACGUAUGACCAACUACCUUUACCGGUAUGUUUGUGUCUAGUAUGCUAUCAUUUGAAAGCAACGAACGUGACCGUAUCCUUUUAUUAUGUACGCACGCGUAUAUUUAUUUCAUUAAAGGGACCGCUGUUUCUUUCUUUAAACCAGAGGAAGGUUACGGCAAUAACAGGUCUGUGAUGCCCUUCGAUGUUCCGGGCUGCACACGUGCUACAAUGAUUAUUUCAUUAAGUAUCUAAUCUUUUUAUGUAUCGUACCUCUGUGUAUGUUCAAAAAUACCUACCCUGAGAAUGGGCGGGUAAUCAAUUAGAAGUAAUGAUUUCCUUUUUUUAAUACGCAACUAUGUACCGUAUAUUACAUCCCACAUAUUUUCAAUAUAUGUGCGUGUGUGUUUUAUUACCGUGUACGCGUAACUGUUAAUUCAUGGUGGGGAUAGACCAUUGUUAAUUGUUGGUCUCGGUCUUAACUAGGAAUGCCUUGUACGGGUCAUUGGUUCAACAAACCACCCGGAAUACGUCCCUGCCCUUUGUACACACCGCCCGUCGCUCUUACCGAUGAACUUCGCUAUGAAUCUAUUGGACUGUGCUCUCUUAUGAGUGCGGAAAGAUAUAUGAAUAGUGUGGUUUAAAGGAAAGAGAAGUCGUAACAAGGCAUCAGUAGGUGAACCUGCUGAUGGAUCAUUA